rnacentral:rRNA from 1 species
GAUGAACGCUAGCGGCAGGCCUAACACAUGCAAGUCGAGGGGUAGCAGGAUUAAGCUUGCUUAAUUGCUGACGACCGGCGCACGGGUGCGUAACGCGUAUGCAACCUACCUUAUACUGGGGUAUAGCCCGGAGAAAUUCGGAUUAGUCCCCCAUAGUACUAAUGAAUCGCAUGGUUUAUUAGUUAAAGCAUUGCGGUAUAAGAUGGGCAUGCGUCCUAUUAGCUAGAUGGUGAGGCAACGGCUCACCAUGGCUACGAUAGGUAGGGGGCCUGAGAGGGUGGUCCCCCACACUGGUACUGAGACACGGACCAGACUCCUACGGGAGGCAGCAGUGAGGAAUAUUGGUCAAUGGGCGCAAGCCUGAACCAGCCAUGCCGCGUGCAGGAAGAAUGCCCUAUGGGUUGUAAACUGCUUUUAUUUGGGAAUAAACCUCUUUACGUGUAGAGAGCUGAAGGUACCAAAUGAAUAAGCACCGGCUAACUCCGUGCCAGCCGCCGCUGUAA